CGCACCUUGCGCCCUUUGGUAUUCCGAAGGGCAUGUCUGUUUGAGUGUCGUGAAACUCUCAACCCCCCUGUUUUGUAAUGAGACGGGCGCCUGGGUUGGAUGUGGUUGCUGUCGGACCCGCAAGGGAUCGGCUCAGCUGAAAUACAUUAGCGCGUCUGCUUUAAUCUGCAGCGGCUUGACUUGGCGUAAUAAUACUAUUCGCUGAGGACGCUGCAAUUUAUGUUUAAAGACGAGCGCUCCUAAUGCUUCGACUCUGUCGAAAUUGACAUCUUUGACCUCAGAUCAGACAGGGCUACCCGCUGAACUUAA
rnacentral:misc_RNA from 1 species